CUAUAUAUGUAACUUGUGCAGUUUUGCUUUAAUAUUUGCUCACUAUUUGCAUAAAAAGCAAAUUAUAACAGACCAUAGAUGAUAGACCCUCAUCCAGUGCUCUCAUCAGUUUACUUCUCUAACAAGCAAGGAGGGGGGGGGGGGUACAUAACAGUUCAUUUUUCAUAAUUAUGAGGACAGAGCAGAUGAUGAUGAGAGAUGCAAGUAUAAAACACCAUUCACAAGGCUAGAUGUUAACAUAGCACAGUAUUUCUGGCAAUAAAACGCUCCAAAUGACCAACUGACCAUUUCACACGAACUUUUAUCGCUGGAUAAUUUUGCGAUUUUUCAUCCAAUUCAGUCAUAUAUAUGCUCAAAAUCUUCGCGGUAAGUUUCUCUUUACCAUAAAAUUUGACCGAAUAAGUUUCGAAACAAUGCGACGGCAAAA